rnacentral:rRNA from 1 species
AAGUCGAGCGGUAACAGGGGGUGCUUGCACCCCGCUGACGAGCGGCGGACGGGUGAGUAAUGCUUGGGAAUCUGCCCAGUAGUGGGGGACAACAGUCGGAAACGGCUGCUAAUACCGCAUACGCCCUACGGGGGAAAGCAGGGGAUCUUCGGACCUUGCGCUAUUGGAUGAGCCUAAGUCGGAUUAGCUAGUUGGUGGGGUAAAGGCCUACCAAGGCGACGAUCCGUAGCUGGUCUGAGAGGAUGAUCAGCCACAUCGGGACUGAGACACGGCCCGAACUCCUACGGGAGGCAGCAGUGGGGAAUAUUGGACAAUGGGGGCAACCCUGAUCCAGCCAUGCCGCGUGUGUGAAGAAGGCUUUCGGGUUGUAAAGCACUUUCAGCGAGGAGGAAGGCCUUAAAGUUAAUAUCUUUAAGGAUUGACGUUACUCGCAGAAGGAGCACCGGCUAACUCCGUGCCAGCAGCCGCGGUAAUACGGAGGGUGCAAGCGUUAAUCGGAAUUACUGGGCGUAAAGCGCGCGUAGGUGGUUUGGUAAGCGAGAUGUGAAAGCCCCGGGCUUAACCUGGGAACGGCAUUUCGAACUGUCAGACUAGAGUGUGGUAGAGGGUAGUGGAAUUUCCUGUGUAGCGGUGAAAUGCGUAGAUAUAGGAAGGAACACCAGUGGCGAAGGCGGCUACCUGGACCAACACUGACACUGAGGUGCGAAAGCGUGGGGAGCAAACAGGAUUAGAUACCCUGGUAGUCCACGCCGUAAACGAUGUCAACUAGCCGUUGGGACUCUUGAAGUCUUAGUGGCGCAGCUAACGCACUAAGUUGACCGCCUGGGGAGUACGGCCGCAAGGUUAAAACUCAAAUGAAUUGACGGGGGCCCGCACAAGCGGUGGGGGCAUGUGUUUAAUUCGACGCAACGCGAAGAUCCUUACGUGGCUUGACAUCCAGAGAGCUUUCCAGAGAUGGAUUGGUGCCUUCGGGACUCUGAGACAGUGCUGCAUGCCGUCGUCAGCUCGUGUCGUGAGAUGUGGGUUAAGUCCCGUACGAGCGCCACCCCUAUUCUUGGUGCUAGCAGUAAUGCUGAAACUCAGGAGACUGCUGGUGACAAUCUGAGGAGGUGGGAUGACGUCAGGUCAUCAUGCUUACGGCAGGCUACAACGUGCUACAUGGCCGUACGGAGGGAGUCCACCUCGGGAAGGUACAAUCCUUACCGCUGAUCUUGAUCGACUGCAACUCGACUCCGUGAAAACGCAGAAUCUA